AUUGAACGCUGGCGGUAUGCUUAACACAUGCAAGUCGAACGGUAACAGGCCUUCGGGCGCUGACGAGUGGCGGACGGGUGAGUAACGCGUAGGAAUCUGCCUCAUAGUGGGGGACAACGUUGGGAAACUCACGCUAAUACCGCAUACGCCCUACGGGGAAAGGCGGGGGAGUCUUCGGACCUCGCGCUAUGAGAUGAGCCUGCGUUAGAUUAGCUAGUUGGUAGGGUAAAGGCCUACCAAGGCGACGAUCUAUAGCUGGUCUGAGAGGACGAUCAGCCACACUGGGACUGAGACACGGCCCAGACUCCUACGGGAGGCAGCAGUGGGGAAUAUUGGACAAUGGGCGCAAGCCUGAUCCAGCAAUACCGCGUGUGUGAAGAAGGCCUUAGGGUUGUAAAGCACUUUCAAUUGGGAGGAAAACCUGCCGGUCAAUACCCGGUAGCUUGACAUUACCUUUAGAAGAAGCACCGGCUAACUCCGUGCCAGCAGCCGCGGUAA
rnacentral:rRNA from 1 species